AGAAGGUAGAAUAGAAAUUGUAAUAACAAAAUCCUAACUCUAAUAGAAUAUUAAUUAAAAUCUAAUUAGACCAUAAUAAUAUUAAGCAAGUUUUAAUCAAAUUCAAAGAAAUCUCAAAGGAAUUACAAAGAAAUAAGAAGAAAUCAUAAAGAGAUAUUAGAAUGAUCACAAAUAUAUCUCAAAUACAUCUCAAUUUAAUCUUAAUUUAAUCCUACUUAAAAUCCUAUUGAACUUCAUUCAAACUUUAGGCCAAAAAUUUAUUAAAUCUUAAAUCCUAAAUAAAUCCUAAUAAAAUCCUAAAUCCUAAUAAAAUCCUAACCAAAUCCUAACCAAAUCUUAAAUCAAACCCUAACUAAAUCCUAAAUUCUAAACCUUAAUCCUAAAUCAAAUCCUAACCAAAUCCUAAAUCCUAAUAAAAUCCUAACCAAAUCCUAACCAAAUCUUAAAUCAAACCCUAACUAAAUCCUAAAUUCUAAACCUUAAUCCUAAAUCAAAUCCUAAUCAAAUCCUAAAAUCUAAAACAAAUCCUAAUCAAAUCCUAAAUCCUAAAUCAAAUCC
rnacentral:lncRNA from 1 species